AGCAGAGUCGCCUAACGGUGGGGCAGCGGGUUUUGAUCCCGCCGGAUAAUUAUGUCUAUGUAGGUUCGAGUCCUACCUCUGUUGCCA
rnacentral:tRNA from 1 species